rnacentral:RNase_P_RNA from 1 species
GAAGCUGGCCAGACAGUCGCUGUUCUUGAAUUCCAAGAGCAGAGGAAAGUCCGGGCUCCAGAGAGCAGGAUGCCGGCUAACGGCCGGACGCCGUGAGGCGAUGGAAAGUGCCACAGAAAAUAUACCGCCGAUGGCUUCACCCGACUUUGCGGCCGAAAGGCUGCGAAGUCUCGCUCGCGUAAGUGGGUAGGGGUGAAGAUCAGGUAAGGGUGAAAAGGUGUGAAGCGGCGUAGCCGCUUGGCGGCUUUUUAGUGAAGGCUUUCCUUCAGGUUAGCCGGAGCUAAAAGCUCAUCGCGGCUAUCCGCGGUGAGAUGAAAAGCCGCCGUAAGAGCUCACCGCGUUGCUGGUAACAGCAACGGCAGGGUAAACCCCAUCCGGAGCAAGGCCAAAUAGGAAGCCAUAGCGUGGCUCGCGCUGCUUCCGGGUAGGCUGCUAGAGCGCGUCGGUAACGGCGCCCCCAGAGGAAUGACUGUCAUAGGGACGAUUUCAAGUUGUCCCUAACAGAACCCGGCUUACCGGCCAGCUUCUUUU